GCCCGGAUGGCGGAAUUGGCAGACGCAAGGGACUUAAAAUCCCUGGCCUUAACCGGUGUGCGGGUUCAAGCCCCGCUCUGGGCACCA
rnacentral:tRNA from 1 species